GGUUCCCUGGGUUCUCUGUCAUGUUCUUGCUAGUUGUAGAAAGUGGCUCUGCCUGCCUGCCUGCCUGCCUGCCUGCCUGCCUGCCUGCCUGCCUGUCUGUCUGUCUGUCUAUUUUAAGUUGUGUGACUGUUUAGUUUGGUCUUUUGCGUUUUGUUGUGUGUUUUUAGUUCAUUCUGUAUUGCAGAGUCCUGCGUUUUUGGGUUCACAAAUCUGUCUGCCGCACACCUACACCUGCAUGUAUGAUGCAUAUAUGAUGUGGGUUUUUAUCAAGUUAUUUGUGAAUAUUUGUGAUCCUCUGAAAUUUUGAUGCAGAUAUGAAAGAUUUGAUUAAACUUAUCUGUUUUCUAAUUAAGGCCUAAAGGACGUUCAGGUCAGCAUGUGUUUGUCCUGUCUUCACUCACUUACACCCAAACAGUCAUGGAAGAUGGCUGCACCCUCCCUGAGCCUGGGUCUGCUGGAGGUUUCCGCCUGUUAAAAGGAAGUUUUUCCUUCCUGCUGUCGCCAAAGUGCUUGCUCAUAAGGGGUCAUAUGAUUGUGGCUUAAGAGUGAUAUCUCACUGAAUGUCAUCUGGGUAGUAGUGAUAAGAAAUGUCAUUAGAAGUAAUCAAAAUUUGCUGAAGAAGAACCUAUAUAACAGAAAUUGCAAAGGCCCCAAAACAGCACCUUGUGGCACACCAUAUUCAAGAGAAGCGAAUUUAAGAACAGCCACAGAAAAGAAAUGAUCCAAAGCAGACUCCAGUAUGCCCAGCAAGUAUGCCAGUCCUUUGAGAAUAAUAUGAUGGUCAGCAGUAUAAAAGGCAGAGGUCAGCUCUAGCAUCAGCAAAUGAUGCAGGACAUUUGUUUGCAGGACAUUGCAAGAGUCCUGCAAACGUGACCUCUGUGGAAGGCAGUA